rnacentral:rRNA from 1 species
AUACGUGCCAGCAGCCGCGGUAAUACGUAUGGUGCAAGCGUUAUCCGGAUUUACUGGGUGUAAAGGGAGCGUAGACGGAGAAGCAAGUCUGGAGUGAAAGCCCGGGGCUCAACCCCGGGACUGCUUUGGAAACUGUUUUUCUUGAGUGCCGGAGAGGUAAGCGGAAUUCCUAGUGUAGCGGUGAAAUGCGUAGAUAUUAGGAGGAACACCAGUGGCGAAGGCGGCUUACUGGACGGUAACUGACGUUGAGGCUCGAAAGCGUGGGGAGCA